UCCGUAGGGGGCAAGCGUUGUCCGGAAUCAUUGGGCGUAAAGCGCGCGUAGGCGGCCAGAUAAGUCCGGUGUGAAAGUCACAGGCUCAACCUGUGAAUGCCGCUGGAAACUGUCUGGCUAGAGUCCGGAAGGGGCGAGUGGAAUUCCUGGUGUAGCGGUGAAAUGCGCAGAUAUCAGGAGGAACACCAAUGGCGAAGGCAGCUCGCUGGGACGGUACUGACGCUGAGGCGCGAAAGCGUGGGGAGCAAACAGG
rnacentral:rRNA from 1 species